AGCGAACGCUGGCGGCAGGCCUAACACAUGCAAGUCGAACGAAGCCUUCGGGCUUAGUGGCGGACGGGUGAGUAACACGUGGGAACGUACCUUUUGGUUCGGAAUAACGCAGAGAAAUUUGCGCUAAUACCGAAUGAGCCCUUAGGGGGAAAGAUUUAUCGCCGAAAGAUCUGCCCGCGUUGGAUUAGGUAGUUGGGGUGGUAAAGGCGCACCAAGCCUACGAUCCAUAGCUGGUCUGAGAGGAUGAUCAGCCACACUGGGACUGAGACACGGCCCAGACUCCUACGGGAGGGAGCAGUGGGGAAUCUUGCGCAAGGGGCGAAAGCCUGACGCAGCCAUGCCGCGUGAAUGAUGAAGGUCUUAGGAUUGUAAAAUUCUUUUACCAGGGACGAUAAUGACGGUACCUGGAGAAAAAGCCCCGGCUAACUUCGUGCCAGCCGCCGCCGUAAUAC
rnacentral:rRNA from 1 species